GAAUAUAUUUAAACGGCCGCAGAAUUUUAACUGUGCUAAGGUAGCAUAAUCAUUUGUUGUUUAAAUGGCAACUAGUAUGAAUGGUUUAACGAUUCUUAUCUGUCUUUCAUUUAUAUUUAAUAAAAAUUGUCAUUAAAGUUAAAAGUCUUUAAUUUAAAUAAAAGACAAAAAGACCCUAUAGAGUUUUAUUUUAAAAAUUUAAAUUUAAAUUUAUUAAAUUUUAGUUGGGGCAACUAGAAAAUCAUAUGAUUUUUCUUACAUAAAAAAUAGUUAUUAUCAUUAUGAUUAAUAAUUCUAAUAAAUUACCUUAGGGAUAACAGAAUAAUUUUUCUUUUAGAGUUCAAAUCGACAAGAAAAUUUAU
rnacentral:rRNA from 1 species